AACGAACGCUGGCGGCAUGCCUAACACAUGCAAGUCGAACGAGGCCUUCGGGUCUAGUGGCGCACGGGUGCGUAACGCGUGGGAACCUGCCCCUAGGUUCGGAAUAACUCCCCGAAAGGGGUGCUAAUACCGGAUAAUGUCUUCGGACCAAAGAUUUAUCGCCUUUGGAUGGGCCCGCGUUGGAUUAGCUAGUUGGUAGGGUAAAAGCCUACCAAGGCGACGAUCCAUAGCUGGUCUGAGAGGAUGAUCAGCCACACUGGGACUGAGACACGGCCCAGACUCCUACGGGAGGCAGCAGUGGGGAAUAUUGGACAAUGGGCGAAAGCCUGAUCCAGCAAUGCCGCGUGAGUGAUGAAGGCCUUAGGGUUGUAAAGCUCUUUUACCCGGGAUGAUAAUGGCAGUACCGGGAGAAUAAGCGCCGGCUAACUCCGUG
rnacentral:rRNA from 1 species